rnacentral:rRNA from 1 species
AUGGGGGUGGCGUCGACAACCACCUGCUCCGGCCUCGGAUCUACGCCAGAUCCAUGGGGGUGGCGCCGACAACUAGCUGCUCCAGCCUUGCAAAAAAAUUGGCUCUACCGCCGGUGGCCCGAUUCCAUCCAGUCCCAUCUCCCCACGCCCCAGAAACCCUAUGCCUCUGCUACCUCGGCGACGGCACCUCUCGAACAUACCGGCGUGACCUCCGCCGCGGUCACAUGGAACGCUAGGAUCCACCACACCAGCGGUCUCCUAUACCUCUACCGCCCCUCCCGCACCUCUAGAGGGCAGCGGGGUCUUCGCGGAGGAGUGGAGGGGGAGGAUGCGGACGAGAGGGGGAAGGAGGUAGCUGGCGUGGAGGACAGCAGGGCCCCGCGGAGGUUGGCUGGUCUACUCGUCGCUCCACCGCGUCAUCACCUCCUCUGUGCCAUGAGAGGCGCCGCCUCUGCCUCCACCAACACUUCCUGCUUCCUCCCUCCCUGGGCACCACAGCUGCCGGUCCACUCCCUCCUCCUCCAUCCUCCCUCCCUCGCCAGCCACCGUCGCACGAACCUCCCUGGUCAGGGUCGGGGCAGAAGUCCAUGGCGAAUCUUGAGCCUCUGGACGAAGCAGCAGGGGUUGGCGGAGCGUUGGAUACAGGUUGGGUCAACGGUUGAGGGAGGGUCCGCUGGCCGGAGCAGCAGGAGAAAGACCUUGAUGUGGUUCGGGUUUGCCUCUACAUCCUUUCUCUCUUUCCCUAGGUUUCGAUCUUACAAUUUCAGUGAAGCUACAACAUCCAACAUAACGAGAUGA